UGUAAUCAACACUCUUUAUGUCUGAUAUUUUAUUCAUGGCUUCAGUUCUGUAACUUACUAUUUAGAUAGAAUGACUCUUCAAUUUCAUAUGAUCUUUAGCUGGACACUAGUUUUCUAAUAUUUAAUACUGUGUUAUUUGUAUUCAAACCUGUGUCUAUGUAUCUAAGAUUUUCCGAAUGAUAUCUAAUACUCAUGUUUUGUCCUGUUCAAGCUGCAAAGUAUUGGAUUAAAUGUAAUUACUUGGGUAAUAAUUACAUUUUAUUGUGAUUAUAGAUUCUAAUUCCUUAAGCGUGUUUGGCUUGUCUCGUCGCUUGUUAUUACAUUGUAAUUCUUAUGUCAUAUUUGGUAGCAUAAAUUCUACUUAUAUAAUUAUAUAACUCUUUAUGUCUGAUAUUUUAUUCAUGGCUUCAGUUCUGUAACUUACUAUUUAGAUAGAAUGACUCUUCAAUUUCAUAUGAUCUUUAGCUGGACACUAGUUUUCUAAUAUUUAAUACUGUGUUAUUUGUAUUCAAACCUGUGUCUAUGUAUCUAAGAUUUUCCGAAUGAUAUCUAAUACUCAUGUUUUGUCCUGUUCAAGCUGCAAAGUAUUGGAUUAAAUGUAAUUACUUGGGUAAUAAUUACAUUUUAUUGUGAUUAUAGAUUCUAA
rnacentral:lncRNA from 1 species